AUGACCUUGCUGCAGGGUGAGGGGCUGGUAAGGUUGAAAUCUUCCUGUUUCAUGGCCACAUAUGAGCUGUCUCAGCCACCCUCAGUGUCAGUGGCCCCAUUACAGAUGGCCAGGAUCACCUGCUGUGGAAAUACUGUUGGAGGUGGAUAUGUUUAUUGGUACCAGCAGAAGUCAGGCCAGACCCCUGUGCCGGUCAUCUAUAAAGACAGCAAGUGGCCCUCAAGGACCCCUGAGUGAUUCUCUGGCUCCAACUUGUGGAACACAGCCACUCUGACCAUUAGUGGGGCCCAGGCCAGGGACGAGGCUAUUACUGUAGCACCUAUGAUGGCUGAGGGAGCAGCAGGCAGUGGCU